rnacentral:tRNA from 1 species
UUAGAGCUGAAGUAUUAAUAGUACUUUUUAUUUACACUAAAAGAGACUUCAAAUGAAGCAGCUUU